rnacentral:rRNA from 1 species
UACGGAGGUGGCAAGCGUUGUUCGGAUUUACUGGGCGUACAGGGAGCGUAGGCGGUUGGAUAAGCCCUCCGUGAAAUCUCCAGGCUUAACCUGGAAAGUGCAGAGGGGACUGUUCAGCUAGAGGAUGGGAGAGGAGCGCGGAAUUCCCGGUGUAGCGGUGAAAUGCGUAGAGAUCGGGAGGAAGGCCGGUGGCGAAGGCGGCGCUCUGGAACAUUUCUGACGCUGAGGCUCGAAAGCGUGGGGAGCAAACAGG